CGAAUCUCGAAAGCCUGUCUCAGUUCGGAUUGGAGGCUGAAACCCGCCUCCAUGAAGUUGGAUUCGCUAGUAAUCGCGCAUCAGCCAUGGCGCGGUGAAUACGUUCCCGGGCCUUGUACACACCGCCCGUCAAGCCAUGGGAGCCGGGGGUGCCUGAAGUUCGUGACCGCAAGGAGCGACCUAGGGCAAAACUGGUGACUGGGGCUAAGUCGUAACAAGGUAUC
rnacentral:rRNA from 1 species